UGGGGAAUAUUGGACAAUGGGCGCAAGCCUGAUCCAGCAAUGCCGCGUGAGUGAUGAAGGCCUUAGGGUUGUAAAGCUCUUUCGCACGUGACGAUGAUGACGGUAACGUGAGAAGAAGCCCCGGCUAACUUCGUGCCAGCAGCCGCGGUAAUACGAAGGGGGCUAGCGUUGUUCGGAAUUACUGGGCGUAAAGGGCGCGUAGGCGGCCCGAUCAGUCAGAAGUGAAAGCCCCGGGCUCAACCUGGGAACUGCUUUUGAUACUGUCGGGCUUGAGUUUCGGAGAGGAUGGUGGAAUUCCCAGUGUAGAGGUGAAAUUCGUAGAUAUUGGGAAGAACACCGGUGGCGAAGGCGGCCAUCUGGACGAACACUGACGCUGAGGCGCGAAAGCGUGGGGAGCAAA
rnacentral:rRNA from 1 species